rnacentral:rRNA from 1 species
GAUGAACGCUGGCGGCGUGCCUAAUACAUGCAAGUCGAGCGAACGGACGAGAAGCUUGCUUUUCUGAUGUUAGCGGCGGACGGGUGAGUAACACGUGGAUAACCUACCUAUAAGACUGGGAUAACUUCGGGAAACCGGAGCUAAUACCGGAUAAUAUUUUGAACCGCAUGGUUCAAAAGUGAAAGACGGUCUUGCUGUCACUUAUAGAUGGAUCCGCGCUGCAUUAGCUAGUUGGUAAGGUAACGGCUUACCAAGGCAACGAUGCAUAGCCGACCUGAGAGGGGGAGCGGCCACACUGGAACUGAGACACGGCCCAGACUCCGACGGGGGGCAGGAGUAGGGAAUCUUCCGCAAUGGGCGAAAGCCUGACGGAGCAACGCCGCGUGAGUGAGGAAGGUCUUCGGAUCGUAAAACUGUUUUAUGAGGGAAGAAAAUAUGUGUAAGUAACUGUGCACGUCUUGACGGUACCUAAUCAGAAAGCCACGGCUAACUACGUG